CACUCAUGCGCAAUGGUCAGCAAAGCAACGCCAAUCACAUCACACCACCUCAGUACUCGGCAGCAUGUCAGGGAGAUAGGGUGUGGAUGUCUGACGGGUUAUCAUUCCGACGGUCCUCGUGUGAGGCAGCAUCAGGAGAGGGAACAAGGUUGAUGCAGCAGGGGCUGUAGACACACAGCAGACUGUGGAACAUUGGAGCAGAUGAGCCACCUGUUCACUCUCAGUCAGUGGUGCAUGUCAUGGCUGAGCCAGCAGGAUGACAAGGCAACUGGAGGAGCAGUAUCAGAAGACAGGCAUUGAAAUGAACGUGCAGUGGAUACAGAGCAGGGGGUUUGAGAUCAAGUCCUUGGCUGUAAGGAUCAUCAUGCAAGUUGGAAGUGAAUCUGCAAAUGACUCAUUUUAUACUAAAAUGAGUUUACUAAUAAUGUGAAGUGAAUCUGCGAAUGACUUUACUAAAAUGAGUUUACUAAUAAUGUUAUAGGUAAAGAAAACAACCACUGCUACAUUCUUCUUUAUUUAAGUGAAUCAAGUUUAACAAAAUUAAUGACUAGUAACAAAUGUAAAAAUGAAAUGAUUCAUUGUUUAAGUUAUCUACUGGAUUUUAUCUAGCUUGAAUAUUCUACAUUAUGUUGGUAAUAUACAUGGUUAUCAAAUUCACAUCCUUGGAGGAAGAAGAAAAAAGUGAUGGACUAGUUGUUGUUACAUGUCUUUAGGGUGUUGAGAGGGGUGGGGCUGCCGAAAUUUAGACUUCAAAUUUUGGGGGCUCCACCCCUCCCAACACCCUCCCCAAAAUUUAGACUUAAGUUCUAUUGGUUGUUGGGAGGGAUGGGGCACCAAUGUAGUAGACCAUGUUGGGAGGGGUGAGGUAGAUGUCCACCCCCAAAAUUUCCCCCCCCCCCAAAUAAAAAAAAAAAUUUAUCCCCCUAUCCCCCCCAAGAAAAUUUAGACAAGCUGUUGGGAGGAAUGGGGCCCCAAAAUUUACUUGCACCCCUUAAAAUUUAGCACAUGGUCCCCUGUUUGUGAAAGGCUAAUCAGUGACAGUGCAUGGUCCAUCAUUGAAGUUUAACCUAGCAAUCAACGUUACCCCAGUAAUCAGUGUUACAUGUCUAUUAGGGGCCUGCUUUAGCAUCUGGAGUUGCUAAUUAAACUAUUCACAUGUGUAGGGUCAUGUGCAAAAGUUACUACUUUAUGGCCAUCUCCCCCCUUCCUAGUUCCCUAGUAGUCAGGGCUACACCUCCCCUUUUGCUAGUUCCCUAGUAAUCAAGGUUACAUAUCUAAGAUGUUAAGGGGUUAUGAACUAUUCACAUGGGAAGGGGCCCUCACAUGCAAACCGUUUUACUCAACCACCCGCCUCAAAAGCACAAAUUGGCCCACUAGUUUCUACUAUGUGGCUCCCCCUUGCUAGUUCCCUAGUAAUCAAGGUUAUAUGUUGGGCCUAAUCUAACACUGCAGUUCGUCUCUGGGGUCCUGGGCCUACAACACUACUGCUGCGCAUCUAAGUUGUUGGGGACCCUAAUUUAAGUUCCUAAUAAACUAUUCACAUAUAUGGGGUCAUGUACAAACCUGAUUUCACUCACCUCCCUCCACUCCCCAAAGUCAUAACAUCGCCCACUAGUUACUACUAUAUGGCCAGACCUCCCCUCCUUGACAGUUUUCAUCAUUGCCAGUCAGACCAAAGUCAAAUUUCUGAGGCCCAAACUGCCUUGCUUCACUCCUAUCAUGUCACUUCCCCAAAACGCAUGCAACAUUUACCCUCUCUUCCCAUCAUAGCCAGACUGUCUCCUAAUUAAUAAUAUUUAGCACAAAU